rnacentral:rRNA from 1 species
UACGUAGGUGGCAAGCGUUGUCCGGAUUUACUGGGCGUAAAGCGCGCGCAGGUGGUUUCUUAAGUCUGAUGUGAAAGCCCACGGCUCAACCGUGGAGGGUCAUUGGAAACUGGGAGACUUGAGUGCAGAAGAGGAAAGUGGAAUUCCAUGUGUAGCGGUGAAAUGCGUAGAGAUAUGGAGGAACACCAGUGGCGAAGGCGACUUUCUGGUCUGUAACUGACACUGAGGCGCGAAAGCGUGGGGAGCAAACAGG